AAGCCUGUGGUACAUAGCCUAGUUGUAAAGAUUGGUUGAUUUGAUUUAAUAUGGACGAGCUGAUUAAAGGUAGAACUUCUUUGAGUAAUCUGGUUGGGAUUGAAUCUAAAAGACAAGUGGACGACUUGGAAGAGUUAAUUAUUGCGGUUAAGUCCAUAUGAGUUAUGGGGAAGAAGCUGUCGAGGUAACACAGAGGAUUUAAUAAAUUUAAAGUUGAUGGAUCUAGACAGUGCUUUCUGUCAUUUGGAAGAAGUCGCUGCUGAAUGUUUUUUCUAAUGAUGAUAAUUUUAUUAGUAAAGUAGUUCAUGAAGUCAUUGCUGCUGAGAUUUAAGGGGAUAGUAGACUCAACACAGCUAUGACUCUUUGUCAGCCUGGUUACAGUGCUGAAAAGGAACCUGGGGUUGUUUUUGUUUUUCUCAAUUAGGGAGGAAUAAUAUGUUUUUCUAGCAGCACAAAGUGCUUUUUUAUAUUUCAUUAGACUGUCCAUCCAUGCAAUUCAGUUUACAUUUAUUUUGUUGGAACGCCACUGCCUUUCUAGUUGUCUGGUCCUGUGCUUUAGGCUGUGGAUCUCUGAGUUAUACCACGGAGCUAACCUCCUCUGAUUCACUGUCUUCUUCUUCAGAGGAGCCACUGUGUCUAACAUUGUACGUAGAGAAGCUGCAGCAUCAUCUACAAGACAGUCAACCUGUUCAUAAGGAUUAAGCCAAAGGGAAGAAGGCAGAGGCUAGAACAACUGGUGUAGGAGCUGCACCUCCACGCACUGAGGCGAAGGCCCUCAGCCUGAACACUGGCUGAAGGGAUUCCUGGAGGGAGUUCAUCAGAACCAGUCACUCCCCAGGAUACAAGUGCAUCUGUAAAAUAUUCUGAUGGUAAUAUGUGAAUCUUCCUGUCACAACAGAAGCCCAGGCUGUUAGUGUGGAAGAACAGCAGGAGGAGGGUCCGUCACAUUCUGCUGCACAGAUGCACACAGUUCAGUGAUGUUCAGUAAAUGCCAGAGUUCAAUUCUGUAAAAGUAAUGAGGAACUAUGUCAUGUAACUCUAAAUGCUCUGUAUUUUCAGUUACCGGUUAAGGAGUUGUAUAAACUAAAUCUCAAGGAAAUGUUAUACUUGGACCACCAGAUUGAAAAGACCAUCCAUCCAUCCAUUUUCCAAACUGCUUAUUCCCUAAUGCGGGCUCACGGGGGUGCUGGAGCCUAACCCAGCUGACUAUGGGCGAGAGGCAGGGUACACCCUGGACGGGUCGCCAGUCCAUCGCAGGGCAACACAUAGACAGACAACC